rnacentral:lncRNA from 1 species
GCCAUCUCUGAGAGUAUUCACGUGUAGAUUCAGUGGGAUGCAGUGAGGUGGCAGAGAAUAUGGGAGCUGUAGCCAGUUGUGGUUAUCAGGUGAGUGAGCGCUGAGAAAUACGCAUAGCAAAAGGUAGGAAUCCGCUGAUGAAAGACUAUGGAGAGGGAAGAUAGUAGGUUACAAGGGAAAGAUGGGUUCGGAGAGACUUUGGAGGUUAUUUAAGCAUGUUUGGAAGCAGCCAAAGAAAGGACGCUGGAAGAAAGAGUCAAGCG